rnacentral:sRNA from 1 species
AGCGGCCGCGGUAAUUCCAGCUCCAAUAGCGUAUAUUAAAGUUGUUGCAGUUAAAAAGCUCGUAGUUGAGCUUCGGGAUCAAUUGAUUGGUCAUGCCUUGGUAUGUACUGUUCACAUUGGUUCUCACCUUCUAAUGAACCAUAAUGUCAUUUAUUUGAUGCUAGUGGGGAAUUAGGACUGUUACCUUAGAAAAAUUAGAGUGUUUAAAGCAGGCUCACGCUUGAAUACAUUAGCAUGGAAUAAUGAAAUAGGACAUCGCAUUCUAUUUUGUUGGUUUCUAGGAUCGAUGUAAUGAUUAAUAGGGAUAGUUGGGGGCAUUAGUAUUCAAUUGUCAGAGGUGAAAUUCUUGGAUUU